rnacentral:rRNA from 1 species
ACCCAAUAGAUACCCGGGUAGUCCACGCCGUAAACGAUGAUGACUCGACCUGUGCGGGGCUCAAAUCCCCCGUGCGGGUCGACAGCUAACGACGAUAAGUCAUCCGCCUGGGAAGUACGGUCGCAAGACUAAAACUACAAGGAAUUGACGGGGACCCGCACAAGCAGCGGAGCGUGUGGUUUAAUUCGACGCAACGCGCACAACCUUACCCAGAUUUGACAUGGCGCUGCAAGCGCACGGAAACGUGCGACCUGCGAGGGUGCGCCACAGAUGCUGCAUGGCUGUCGUCAGCUCGUGUCGUGAGAUGUUGGGUUAAGUCCCGCAACGAGCGCAACCCUCGUCGCAGUUACCGCGUGUCUGGCGAGACUGCCCUCGGUAGGAA